UAAGAAAAUGAAAUGAAAAUGUUCUUACCUUUUUUCUCUCUUUUGUUCAUGCGAGAGUUAAGCCUUUUGAUCCUAGAGCUCUCAACUUCUAGUGAAGAAGAUGAACAUGUAAUAAAAAAUUUAAGGAGAUGAAGGAAAGAUAAACACAACAAUGUAUAGUGGUUCAGUGAUUUAGCUCCACCUACAUCCACUUUAAAGAGAUCCUCAAGUUUUUCAUUCAAAGACUUCAAGAUUAUAAAAGCAUUCAGAUAAGAUCCUCUUCCACACCUACUUCUCUAAAAAUACUCACUGAUUUCUCACAGCUAAAAAUGAAAACCAAACCAUACAUACAUUCUUUACACUUUGUUUUUUUUUCAUACAGAUAGUCGAGGAACAGAAAACAGUUUGUAACAACUUGCUAACUAUUUUCUGUUUGUUUGAACAGGGGUUAAGAAGACAGAGAGCUGAAGAAGAGCUUGGUGUUUUAGGUUCACAUUUUUAAUAAAUCUCCCUCUUAAAGCAAAAACACCUUGAAGAUCUUCAAUAUUCGCACUUAAAGAGGUAGGCAGAGACUUCAGAUUAUCCAAAGCUUCCAGUUCCUUUUGUGAGAUCAAAAAGACCUUGACCUUUUUUAUCCAUGGUGCAAAAUCUCCAACUCCAUUGAACUUCUCAAUUUCGAAUUUAGUAGUGGCCAUUCCAAGAACUUUAAGAAUCUGAUUUGUGUUAUCUCAAAAUUUUCAAGAAAUUGGUCUAUGAUCUCUCAAGAGGUUCAAGAAAACAGAUUUGAGGCUUCAAAAACACCAAGAAGCUAUCAUAUAGCUCUGAUACCAGUUGAUAAAAAUGGACCCAAAAAGAAAGGAACUUUCAGGCCCAAAAACAAGACCUUUUACUGAGUUGAACCAAAAACAUAAACUGAAGGUGGUAGCUAAUGUGUGUGGAGCUCCUUAGGCCAUAUUGCUCAUCAGCAAACAUGUCAUAAGUGAAGAAGAUGAACAUGCAAUAAAAAAUUCAAGGAGAUGAAAGAAAGAUGAACACAACAAUGUAUAGUGGUUCAGUGAUUUAGCUCCACCUACAUCUACUUUAAAGAGAUCCUCAAGUUUUUCAAUUCAAAGACUUCAAGAUUACAAAAGCACUCAGAUAAGUUUCUCUUCCAUAGCUCCCUCCCUAAAAAUACUCACUGAUUUCUCAUAACUAAAAAUGAAAACAAAAACCUUACAUAUAUUUUUUACACUGUUAUUUUUAUACAGAUAGUUGAGGAACAGAAAACAGUUUGUAACAACUUGCUAACUGUUUUCUGUUUGUUUGAAUAGAGGCUAAGAAGACAGAAAGCUAAAGAGGAGCUUGGUGUUUUUGGUUCACAUUUUCAAUAGGUUGUUCAAUACAAACCAAUUAGGAAUGGAUCAAUAGGUGAUUUUGAGGGUUGGUUUCGAAUAUUAUUAAAGACGAUCCAGCACAAAGUCUAUACGAUAGACAUUAUACUCUUCCACUUGCUUGGUCGUUGAGUUCAAUCGUUGUUUCCUCCAAACUCUACCAAUCCAACAGAGCCUACACCUCCUGGAUUCUCACUCCGAGAAUACCAAAGUUACUGAGUGGUGGUGUCUGAAAGGUUUCCUGUUCAUGGAGAAAAUUGUUCGUGGUUGACCAGACGAUCGGGUUGGCGUUCUAAGCGACAGUGAGAGAUUAUUGUACCAGACUCCACGAGAGCGAGAAAAAGUUAGAAGAAACGUUCUUCAAAGAUGAGCAUCAAGUGGGGAGCAUCGAGUGGGUUUUGUUUUGCGGCAGAUUUGGAUGAGCAUCGAGUUCUGGACUAGAUCGAGGACCAGAUCAAGACUUGGAUCGAGUUCGAUCAAGGAUCAAGUUCUACACUGGAUCAAGACUUGGAUCGAGUUCGAUCAAGAAUCGAGUUUGAUCAAGGAUCGAGUUCUUCACAGUGAAGAUCAAAGAUCGAGUUUUGGACCGGAUCGAGGAUCAGGUUCUAGCAUAAAAUUUUUAGACUAGAGUUACAGAAUCAUCAACCAUUAGAGGAAACAAAACCCAAUACAUAAUUGCAUUCUAUUUAGCUAGCUCAAUCUCCUUCAAGUGCAGAAACUAUAAUCGAACAGCAACCAAACACAAAUAGUAAUCAAUUGCCAAUGGAAAAACGCAAAAAGGAAAAUCUAAAAUCAAAUAAAAAAGAAAAUGAAAAUGGAUCUAAGUAUGAGUAAAGAGAGGAAAAUCACACUCACCAAAGUUGCUGCAACCGACAGAGACGAUGGAAAAUCAGUCGUCGAAGUAGAAUGCAGGCAUACAUUUUAGGGAAUUGCACGAAGUUGAUAAUGAUAAAGAGAGGAAUGAGAACGAUAUGGGUUUCAAGUGUUGAAAGUUCUAAUUUGAGAAUAUAAGGGUUGAGAUUUGAGAGAAAGAAGAUUGGUAUUUUAUGUGGAGA